rnacentral:rRNA from 1 species
AGUGAACGCUGGCGGUAGGCCUAACACAUGCAAGUCGAACGGCAGCACAGUAAGAGCUUGCUCUUACGGGUGGCGAGUAGCGGACGGGUGAGGAAUACAUCGGAAUCUACUUUUUCGUGGGGGAUAACGUAGGGAAACUUACGCUAAUACCGCAUACGACCUACGGGUGAAAGCAGGGGAUCUUCGGACCUUGCGCGAUUGAAUGAGCCGAUGUCGGAUUAGCUAGUUGGCGGGGUAAGGGCCCACCAAGGCGACGAUCCGUAGCUGGUCUGAGAGGAUGAUCAGCCACACUGGAACUGAGACACGGUCCAGACUCCUACGGGAGGCAGCAGUGGGGAAUAUUGGACAAUGGGCGCAAGCCUGAUCCAGCCAUACCGCGUGGGUGAAGAAGGCCUUCGGGUUGUAAAGCCCUUUUGUUGGGAAAGAAAAGCAGCAGGUUAAUACCCCGCUGUUCUGACGGUACCCAAAGAAUAAGCACCGGCUAACUUCGUG